CUGUUUAAAAUUAAUUCUACGUUUAACGUAACCCGCGCGCGUAGGUUUCGGCGAAAUCGUCGUUUUGAAAAAACAAACAAAUCCGGAUUUGAAAAAGUCGUUCCGGUUUGGGUUUUCAUUUAGCGACUGAAUUUUACAUCCUGUAUGAGAGAAAAAAUGCUCAAAGACAGCAUUGAGGUAUUCAGUUUUCACAAUACGAAGAACAUGAGAGUCUACACCACUAGCAAAGUAAAAAAAAACAACAAUAAUGGAUCAAACAAACACAUGAUCGAAGUUGGCAGUAAAAAUCUUAUUCGAGAUUGUUUAAUGUCGGUUGUCAAGUCACAGAGCCUGAACCAUGCUGAACCAACUUCCGCCCAAAAAGGCAAAAACGAGGAAGAAACUAACAGGAGGCCCAACUAAAGUGGAAGAACGGCGCGAAGUGGAAUACACUUGAAGGGUUGCAGUUAUUUCAAGAACCCUGUCUUGAGUUCUUAGAAAUAAUCUGUGAAUCACAUGUGUUGUGCGACAUUUUCCCUGAAAAGAAAAAGUUUUCCCUUUGGUUACUAUGUUGAUGUAAAUCCACUGGAUGUACCACUUGAUGUGCUUGCAAGUCACUCCACUUCUCGUCCAGUAUUCAUGAUGUACCCACAGAAAGGAUAUAAACAUAAAUUACACAAAAGUAUAUGCUUUGAAAAUGCAAAAAUUAACAUGGACUGAAUCUUACCAUAUGUAUUAUAUGACAGUGAUGAUGUAUUGAUAACUGAAUGGGUGACUUUAAAUAAAUACACGCCUGUUUGAAAUUUUUGUUUGUUUAUUUUUUUCCUCCCUCCCUCGUAGGUUUUAAAUUUUCAUGUUACGUUAAACGU